UACAGAGGUGCCAAGCGUUGUUCGGAUUUAUUGGGCGUAAAGGGUGCGUAGGCGGCCAUACAAGUCGGGUGUGAAAUACCGGAGCCUAACUCCGGAACGGCAUUCGAAACUGUAUGGCUCGAGAUCUGGAGAGGUGAUUGGAAUUCUCGGUGUAGCAGUGAAAUGCGUAGAUAUCGAGAGGAACACCAGAGGCGAAAGCGAAUCACUGGACAGAAUCUGACGCUGAGGCACGAAAGCCAGGGGAGCAAACGGG
rnacentral:rRNA from 1 species